rnacentral:rRNA from 1 species
CGCAGUACUCUGACUGUGCAAAGGUAGCAUAAUCAAUUGGCUUAUAAUUGAAGUCUAGCAUGAACGAAUAUACGGGCAGUAGCUGUCUUAGGAGUAAUAUAGUGAAUUUAAUUAUCAAGUGCAAAUGCUUGCAGCAUUAAAAAAGACGAGAAGACCCUAGAAACUUUUUUGUUGGGGCGACAGGAUUGCAACUAACAGUCUUAUUGCACUUACAUAUAACAUGUAGUAAAAGAGAAGUUACUCUAGGGAUAACAGCAUAAUUUUAUAGUUUGUGACCUCGAUGUUGGACUAGGAAAUGCUCUGUUCGAGC